rnacentral:rRNA from 1 species
UACGUAGGUGGCAAGCGUUGUCCGGAUUUACUGGGCGUAAAGCGUAUGCAGGCGGAUCUUUAAGUAGAAAGUGAAAGGUUGGGGCUUAACUCCAACACUGCUCUCUAUACUGGAGGUCUUGAGUGCCGGAGAGGAAGAUGGAACUGCACGUGUAGCGGUGAAAUGCGUUGAGAUGUGCAGGAACACCAAUGGCGAAAGCAAUCUUCUGGACGGAUACUGACGCUGAGAUACGAAAGCCAAGGGAGCGAACAGG